rnacentral:rRNA from 1 species
GACGAACGCUGGCGGCGUGCUUAACACAUGCAAGUCGAACGGAAAGGCCCUGCUUUUGUGGGGUGCUCGAGUGGCGAACGGGUGAGUAACACGUGAGUAACCUGCCCUUGACUUUGGGAUAACUUCAGGAAACUGGGGCUAAUACCGGAUAGGAGCUCCUGCUGCAUGGUGGGGGUUGGAAAGUUUCGGCGGUUGGGGAUGGACUCGCGGCUUAUCAGCUUGUUGGUGGGGUAGUGGCUUACCAAGGCUUUGACGGGUAGCCGGCCUGAGAGGGUGACCGGCCACAUGGGGACUGAGAUACGGCCCAGACUCCUACGGGAGGCAGCAGUGGGGAAUAUUGCACAAUGGGCGGAAGCCUGAUGAAGCAACGCCGCGUGCGGGAUGACGGCCUUCGGGUUGUAAACCGCUUUCGCCUGUGACGAAGCGUGAGUGACGGUAAUGGGUAAAGAAGCACCGGCUAACUACGUG